CGCACAACAUUCUAUACUAUUUUUCGCACAAAAUCAAUUUUUUCUUUGAUAUCACGCUUCUCUCUAUCUCCCACUGCCCUGGCUAAUAUCACGUCUCUCUCUUAUGCUUCUCUCAUUCUGUUUCUCAAUCUCUGGCGCCACAAAAUCCUCCAGUAAGCUGCAUCGUACCACUGGCAUCCUCUACGUACGCAGCAAGCUCUCCCCAACUCGCCUCCAUCGAACCCCCCGCAGGCUUGAUAUUCAGAGGCUUGAGAUUGCCAAAAACGACUUGCAACACAGGAUCGCAAAAGAGGCUAGAGGAAAUGCAAUUUUACAAGCAAGCUUAGAAAGAAGGAAGCAAGCAUUGCAUGAACGGUGCAUGGCACUUGAACAAGAUGUUAUUCUCACAAUGAUAUCGAUCUAUCUCCGGGGCAAAGUUUGGAUGGAAGUUUCCGGAAGUCUAACUCUGAGAGAGAGAGACAGAGACGGUGAGAGAGAGAUUCGGCAGAGAGAGUGAGAUGCCGAGAGAGAUCGGGAGACAGAGAGAUGGGAGGCCGAUCCUCCAUGGAUCUUCCGGUGGGCGAGCUGGAUCGUCGCCGGUGAGCCAGGGGUGCGUUUUUUCGGCGAAACCCAGGAGCUUGGACUCGUGACCCGUGAGCUGAACCCGACGAACCUAGGAGAACCUGUAUGACCCAAUCUUCAGUGGUGAAGUCCGGCGCGAUUUUCGGCGGUUCUUGUGGAUUUCCGGUGAAGACUUGUUGAACCUGAGACCAACAGAGGAAGAAACCCGAUUUUUCCGGCGACUUCAUGAUGCGAUUUUUCAAUAGAUUUUUAAGAAACUCCCUAAACUAAAUUUUAUGAUUUAAUUUGAUUAAAUCAGUUUAUUAUGGGUUCCCUUGUUGAUCGGAUUAUUGAUGAUUUGAUAUGGAUGUUAUUUGGUUUUGUUAUUGAAAUAUAUUAUGGAUUUGGAUUGUGAUAUUCUGAAAUUAGUUUACUGAUUUGGGUAUUUAGGAUUGUGUAUUUCGGUGGCUUUUCUUCCCUGUUUUGAAAUGGGUUUUGGCAGUGUGUGAAUGGGUUUUGAGAGUUGAUUUAUUCCCCUGUUCUUGUUGGUGUUGGCUAGGUAAGAUUGAAGAACUGAUUAUUGAUUGUGUGAUUUUCUGGUGUUUUGGUUGGAUAGAUCAAAUGAUUUCUUCUGUUUUCCUUUUAGGCUGAGUGAGUGUUGAUUUCUGUGGGUUUUAGGCAGGAGAAACUUAUGGGUUAUUUUGAUGGCUAAUUGAUGGAUUUCAUUUUCAGAAAAGAAGCCGAAUGGGUUUUUGUUAAUUAUUUUUGGAGUUUUGAUUUCAUGGUUUGAUUUGGGUUAUUGAAGACAAAAACCGGUUGGGUACUGUGAAAAUUAUUCUGGUUUGUUUUUGUAUGAAGAUUUUUAAUGGAUUUCUAUUUGAAAAUUCUAAGGUUGAUGUCAUAAGCUUGGUUUGGAUUGUUAAUGCUAGAAGGUGGGAGUAGUAAGUAAUUUUGAUUUCCUGGUUAGUUUAUGGGGUUUAAAUUAUGAUGGGUGAUUUGAGAGUUGUUUUGAUUAUAAUGUUGGGGUCCAUUUUGUUAAAGGAUUCUUGGAUUUGUGGGUAUAUAAAUUGGUGUUGGUGUAUUGAUGGGAAGAAGGGUAAUAAUACGGUUUGAGAAUUUUGGAUUAGAUGAAAUAUUGUCUCUAUCUUUUCAUGACGCUAUGCCCUUGUAAAAAAAAAAUAUAUAAAUUAUUUUGUUGUGAAUUGGUGAUUGAGAAUUAUUGUGGUGAUAAUUUUUUCUAAAUGAUCUUGCUGGGAAUUUUUAUGAAAGACUUUUGGUUAGUGGCUGAUUGGGUUGAAAUCUCAUUUAUGGAAAAUUCUGUUUAGGUUUCAAUAUAUUGAAAAUUAUUGAUCCAUUGGUUAAUAUGAGAAUAAAUUCUGGGUUUGGCUGAGAAUGUUGGUUUUUCUAUUUACGAUUUAUUGUUGGAUAUUUUUUUUAGUGCAUUGAGUUUCUGCUUAAAGGCUUGAGGAUUUAUCAUGUUUUGGACAAAUUGAUGAGAAUUGAGUUCUCUCUUGAUGAUCGGAUGGUGUUUAUGUUUUGGAUAAGGUUCUAUUAUGUUGCCAUAAAUCUUAAUGAGUUCAACUUAAUAUUGGAUUGUUUGGAUAUGAAGUUUCAGAUUAAGGAUUUGUUAAUUCAAGGGAAUUGUUGUUUUUGGGGAGUUUUUGCGGGUUAGGCCAAAUGAGUUCAUAUUAAAAUUCCUAGAGCAUUGAUGAUCUAGUCACUAAGUAGUAAUGUGGACUUAUGAAUAUUGAUGGGUAGUACAAUUUGGAGACCUCUAGUUACGUGUUAAGUUUACUUUAAUUAAGUUGUAGACUUCAAAUUUCAGAAUAUUCUUCUAAGCUUCUUCUUUCAAUUUAUUUAGGUAAAAGCUCGAUCCCGACGCUAAUGGCAAGUCCAGGAUGGAGUAAGCCGGAGUCACUUUUUGGUAAUGGCAGACUUCGCUAAGGGCAAUAGAUAUUUUGGGGGACGGUUGUAACCUUUGUAUUGUACAAUAUGUUUACCUUUAGAAAUCUAUAGCAUUGUAAAGAGCUACUCUUUUAUGCAUGUAAAUAAAAUAGAUGGUAUCUAUUAGAGGUAUGCUUUAUGCAAA